GACGAACGCUGGCGGCGUGCCUAGCACAUGCAAGUCGAACGGAGUAUUUAGCAAUAGAUACUUAGUGGCGAACGGGUGAGUAACGCGUAGACAACCUGCCUCUAAACUGGGGACAACACCGCGAAAGUGGUGCUAAUACCGAAUGUGGUAACUUAGUCGCAUGACUAAGGUAAGAAAGAUGGCCUCUGAAUAUGCUAUCGAUUAGAGAUGGGUCUGCGUGUGAUUAGCUAGUUGGUGAGGUAACGGCUCACCAAGGCGACGAUCAGUAGCCGGUCUGAGAGGAUGAACGGCCACACUGGGACUGAGACACGGCCCAGACUCCUACGGGAGGCAGCAGUGGGGAAUCUUCCGCAAUGGACGAAAGUCUGACGGAGCAACGCCGCGUGAGUGAAGAAGGUCUUCGGAUUGUAAAGCUCUGUCGUUUGGGACGAACGUAUCCUGUGUGAAUAAUGCAGGGUAAUGACGGUACCAAAGGAGGAAGCCACGGCUAACUACGUGCCAGCAGCCGCCGUAACAC
rnacentral:rRNA from 1 species